CGCUGCCUCCUCCCCAAUCGAAGAGACGCCUAGGGUUCGACCUCUCCUCGCUUCUCUCCCGCAUGUCUCUCUCUCUCUCGCAGUCGUCGCCGCCAGCCAUCCUCCCCAUCGCCCCCUUCGCCCCGUCAUCUCCCACUCGCUCCACCCCUCUCGCAGAUCUCGUAGGAUGGAGACGCUGGCCGCCUCCAUCUCCUCUCUGUCGCCGUCUGACCCAGAUGCGGCCGCAGUCUGCCGGCGCCGCAGGCGGAGGAGACGCGCCUAGGAGGAGCCUUCGGCAGCCGCCGCCGCCGCGCCCUCCUCCUCCUUCCACCUCCUGGCCGGCGCCCAACCACCGCGCCUCUCCCUCCCCCUACCGCCGGCCUCUCCCUAGGUGGCGGCCAGAUCUGCCACGGCCACAGCCACGGCGAGGGCUUCUGGAUCCGCGCCGCCGUCGAGCUGGACGCGACCAUCAACCUCGGACCACACCGCCGCCGCCAUGGAUGCACCAUAUCAAGGAAUUGCAAGAAAAUCAUGAGGAAUUUCUCUCAGGUCGCAAUGGCUGACAAAGAGCUUCAGGUUCAUGGUUCACCAGGUUCUGCUGGCUCCACUAACAGUUGCCUGCAAGCACUUGCAUAGGUCAGCUGAGAUACGUCUUGCACACCUACGAGUUGAUUCUUCUAGGGAUCUAAUUUUCUAAACGAACUUUCAGUUGCAAUGCACAAAUAUGUUGCUAGAUGAGGUUUAGAAUUUAUUUGGCAGAAGCUGUUUUAAGAUUAGUAUAUUGUAGUGUUUCUCUGAGGGAAUUCUGUGAAUAUUUGGUCAUUGCCAACAAAUCUAAAAUAGAAUGGAAGCGAUUGUUUGGAAUGGAUAUACUGCCAACAAACCAGCAGUCGAACUGAACUAGAAUACUGUGUGUAUUUUAGCUUAAGCAAUCUAGGAUUCACUCCUGGAUGUUAGAGCAACAUAUUUCAGAAUGUAAUUAAUCAAUGUUGCUUCCCGAGAAGUAUAUUUCUUUUGUUUCAAUAAGCAUUAUGCACAACUCGAUGCUUGGUGCAACAUGAGUUCAUCUUAUUAUGUGAAUAUAGUGGUUGGCAUGCUCAAUUCGUCCUCAUUGGCAUCUGAACCUGAGGCUCCUGACUUACUCAAAUGUUCUCCAGUUAUUCCCCCUCUCCUACAAAUGUGAUCAAUUUGGCAUGGGUAUGCGUACAGUUGGAAUGAGGCGCCAUGGGAAGGAUUCAAAUCUCUGAGAAGUGUGCUAAAUCAAUAGUGCCAAUCGGUUCAGUUUCAGCUUCAAAAACAUUGGGUGAUUGAAAAUGGCAUGCUAUAUUUCUGCAACAAGGCUCCCUAAAUAUUCCCUAUGUUCUAAACUGGAUUCUGACAAGGGUGUACACCCUGCUAUUUGGUCAGAAGUCUGGGAGUUCAUACUUGGUUGUUUGAUCUCGAGAACACCUUUGAUGACCACGGGCAAAUUGGGCGAACCAGAAGGUUUGUACUUGGCUUUAUCAGAAUUAGAAUAUGCAGAACAUGUGUUGGAGAAGUGCCCAUUUGGUUUUAUGAAAUAAUAUUCAGUCAGUUUAAAGUUAUUUUCAUGUUGAUUGCAUUUUGUUGUAGGAACGUGCAAAGAAACUAAUGUUUGAUCAUGUCGUUGACCGGCUCUGUUAUGAUAAUUCUUUGAGAAAGUGGUCACAUUCCACAUGAAGAACCCGUAGUACCAUGUUUUACCAUCUCUAUCGCCACUGUGUUUGGCUUUUGGUUUCUUUUUAUUUUCCUGCUCUGAGUACUCGCCCUCUCAUGUUGUACAAGUGAAUGUUUUUUUUUUGAAUCAAAAAAUCUGAAUAUAUGAGUCGAACCAUGCUUCCUACAAA